rnacentral:sRNA from 1 species
UAUGAGCCCCGAUUAAAGUGGAAAUCCUUAUUGUUUUUGUUUUUAAAAACAAUAAGAUUGUAAUGGAUAGCGGGAAAUAGC